GCUCACGGCCAUAACUGCCUGGGUACGCCCGAUCUCGUCUGAUCUCGGAAGCUAAGCAGGGUCGGGCCUGGUUAGUACUUGGAUGGGAGACCGCCUGGGAAUACCAGGUGCUGUAAGCA
rnacentral:rRNA from 1 species